rnacentral:rRNA from 1 species
CGAACGGGUGAGUAACACGUAAAGAACCUGCCUCAUAGACUGGGACAACUAUUGGAAACGAUAGCUAAUACCGGAUAACAGCAUUAACUGCAUGGUUGAUGUUUAAAAGUUGGUUUUGCUAACACUAUGAGAUGGCUUUUGCGGUGCAUUAGCUAGUUGGUGGGGUAAAGGCCUACCAAGGCGACGAUGCAUAGCCGACCUGAGAGGGUGAUCGGCCACACUGGGACUGAGACACGGCCCAG